UAGUUGAUAUUUUCCAAUUUCUGUCUCAGAAUAUGAAUCCUCACAAUACAGAAUUGUUGUCUAUCUCAGAGUACAUCCUACCAGUUUCGAAUUAUUGGAUAUUUCAGUUUCUGAGGCUGUCUUAUAAACUAUUAGCCUCGGAAAAGGGGUGGUUACUCCAGAUAUUCAGGUGGCGUUUGGAAUGAAAACAAUGUGAAAAAUUGUUGGCCGGGACUUCUUUCACCUGGUUUUCCUUCCAAACCGGACCUUUAUUUGUUUCCUAGCAGUUCCAAAAUUUCCAUUCUCUUGUUAGUUCUUGUUCUGUCGUCAUUCCCUUCAUUUAAGCUUCAGGAUAUGAAGACAUUAGCGUGCAUUAGAGUGAUGUAAUAGGCAUGUCCGGUACAUUUGCCUGCAAGUGAAGUCUUUGCAGGUAAGAAACUUCUAACAAGUACUUGAGGUACCAUACUGAAGUGUGUACUCAACAGUUUAUCUUCUGAAAUUUGCAACGUGGUUGCAUAACUGGAGCUGCAGAAGAUUGUCUAUUAUCACAUAGCAACACGAGAGUCACUUAAGAUGUGAGUUACCAGUCUGUUACAACUAAUUGGAUUUUGAGUAUCUAAGGCCUUUUCAGAAGCAACUAUUCUGGUGGAAGGUUGGCUGGCCUCUUGCCCAUGUUACUUCUUUUUUUAAACAGUAUCCAAUAUUUCCAGCUCUUGUUAGUUUUUGUUUUGUUGCCAUUCCCUGUAACAAGAUGUUUAGAGUUAAUGUCUAUCUUUGACAUGAACUCUAUAAAAGUAUGCGGACUCCUCUCCGGCUUAUAACCGUUGCUUGAUGAUGAAUGCUCAGAUUUUUCUUACUUUGGUUCCUUGAAAAUAUAAGCUCCAAUAGGCUUAUUGCACUUCUCAUUUUAUUGUUUCUGUGACUCUGCACAGUAGCUAGAACACAGUUUGUGUCUGGCUGGCUUUGUCAAAGUCAAAUAUGUAGUUAACUGAUUAAUUUGAAUUUUCCCUGCACUUGUACACCUUGUAUGCAUGGUAUCUUUAGAGAAGAGAACAGAUUGUCUAAAUUCACGUGAAAGUGAUCAGCUUAACAUUGAUUAAUUUAAUUAGGCUAAUUCAGGAAAUGACAAACUAAUCAUGACUGUGAUUUCAAGUUCUCUCUUCUCCAGGGAUGUUCUCUUGAUCGGCUGCUGCUUGCUUGUCUCCUUAAUUACAGUCAAACGCCUCUAUAACAGCCUCAUCUAUUCUAGAUUUUUUUGGUUGUUAUAGCUAAGUGUUGUUACAAAGAACAUAUAUUAUAACAUAACAUGAAAAUUGGUUCCAAAGAAACUUGACUUUUAUAGUGAAUGAUUGUUAUAUAGUGAUGCUGUUAUACAGAGGUCUAACUUUACUAGUUCCUUAGGAUUGUUUUUCACUGUCGGAUCUUUAUUUCAAAAUGAUAUUACCCCUCCAUAUGGAUCUAAAAUUUUCUUGUGAUUCUUGGGGGUGAUACCAAGGAUUCUGGGAUCUGCCGGUUUCCCAUCGGAGCUGUAGUCCUUUUUUGGCAAAUUGGAAGUAAGCUUUUUCAAAAAGAUUGUAUCAGCUGGUCAAGCAUGUGGAGUCCAGACUCUGUUGUCUAGGGGUUUUUAGGAUAUUCUAUAUUUUGUAGGUUAUAUUUAGUGUGCCUCGGUUAUAGACCAAGAGAUUGCAGAAAAUUGUGGCAACAUUGCGAUGUAAUAUUCUUACAACAGUCCACUUACCAAUUUUAUUAAUGUGGGAAUGAUAGCUGUUAAUCCGAUGAGAUCUGUACUUGUGGUUGAACUUAAAAUUGUUACCUGCUGACCUGUGUUUUGUAUGAAGGUGGCCCUGCUUGCAAAUGCAA